UUUUGGCAAAUAUUGGACUAAACCCUCUCUCCUCACACUCACGUUCGUCUCUCCUGUGUCUGAAAAGCGGACCAAACCCUCCUCUCCUCCCACAACCCAUACUCAAUUCCCACAAGCGCCACCCAGAAAUCCACUUGGCUCCACUGCCCAGAAUGCGUAAACCACCCAAUUAUUGAGGACUUUCCCUCUCUCUUCCUCUUUAAUACCAUCUAAGCAUUUCAAACCCAUCACCCAAACUAAAGAAUGCAUUUAUAUUUAUGAUCCACCAAAUCAAAUACCUCUCCACAACACAGCAAAACCCAAAACCCAUUUACCAGUUUCCACCAAUUUAGCUCAAACAAAUCCUUGACCCAUCUGAAAAGAAAGAGAAAGGUAAGCAUCCAUCAUGUCUGCCUAUGGGGUCACCCUUCCUCUUAUUCUGCUCUCCCUGCUUUUGGCUAAUGUCAUCUGUCACAGUGAAGCAAGUGUAGCCCAAGCAAAUGGGUCUGCAACUACCAACGAUAUGGUGCCGUUGAUGGAGCCAAAGAAGGUGGUGGAGAUGAGACUGAUGGUAAAUGAGAGCAGGAGGAGGUUGGGUAGCUUCCAGAUAUGUGCACUUUGCACUUGCUGUGGAGGUGCUAAGGGGAUUUGCUUACCUUCUCCUUGUUGCUAUGCCAUCAAUUGCAACAUUCCAAACAGGCCCUAUGGUUUCUGUUCUUUCACUCCCAAGACCUGUAAUUGUUUUGGAUGCCAUAUCUAAAUCUUUCUAUUUUGCAUUAAUUUAUUUCUGGGUCAUCUUCUUGGUUCCCUUGAGAGUGUGAAUGGGUAGAAGAAUAUCUGUUCUUCAUUUGUUUGUUUAUAAUUUUAUUAUUAUUUAUGAGAAUAUUAUUAAUGUUUAGAGUUGUUAUUUCCAGAGGGAAUUGUGUAUAAAAUUUUAUGGAAGUAGCAGUGCCUUAAGAUAGUGGCAGAGCUAGGAUUAGCGUCACAUGUUUUUUGUUAUACCAUUUUCGGUACUUUUUGUCAAUGUGGCUGUCUUUUCCAGCUUUUCCUUUUGUUUUCCCA